CUAAAAUUUUAAUUUUCGCUCCAAAAAUUUCAAACACCAAAUUGUUAAAAAAACCCAUUGUACAGUUUCCUCUGCCUUCCCACUUUCACGGAAACACAAGCUAUUUUCUCUUAAGUCCUUCCCGGCCCCUAUUUGAUUUCCCCCAUCUGAUUUCUCUCUCAUCUCUCGUUCUCGACCUCCACAUUCUACAUCUCCCUUGGGAGUCUGUCAAAUUCGCGAUGCCUAGUUGAAGAUUCUCGAGCGUCGCCGGCGAUUCGAAUCAAGGUAAAACUCGUUUCUUCCCCGAUUUGGGGUUGAAAAGGGUAACCAAAUUUCUUAAGAAUCAUGCAAAGGGUUUUUUUUAGAUCUCCUGGGUCGACUUUCUUUAGAAAUUCUGUGAUUGAUGGAAAUUCGGGGCUUAGGGUUGAUGAGAAUUCAAGAUGUAUAUGAGAGAAGGAAAGGAAGACGAAGAGAGCGAAAGUUCGACCUCGCACCUCUUUAUUUCAUUUGAUUGAAUAUGAGAGAAGUGGGUUUUGAUAGGCACACCAAGUGUUUGUGGAAAGAGUCUUCGAUGUGGAGUCCAAAAGAGUCUUCGAUUUGUUUGUCGGUUUCUGUAGUUGCAGGACAGAAGCGUUGCUUUUGCAGCAACAAAUUUCAGUGGAAUUCAAUCAAUGGAACAUGUGACAUCAAUUUUGGGAAAAGUAAAAAAGGGAGGAAGAAUGAGAUUUUGGACAAGAAGCAAGAGCUUGAUGCCGAACAGAAUAGUUAAGCGAAAAACAGGAAGCUAAUCUUUAAUAGAUCUCUAAUAAUACUGUAAGGAAUACGAAAAUCAGGUUUGUCACACUAGUUCCGUCUCUACCUGUAGUUGGUCGUGAUGUUUGGUUCCUAAUGCAACUUGCUUAUUGAUUCCAGGAGAAAGUGACUAUCUCUAUGUGAAGAGAGGCUAAGUUGAAGGGUGGAUUCUUUGUCGAGGCUGAAGCUAAGCUCCUCUUUAUCAUUCAUAAUAGAGGCAGUCAUGACAUCAGCAACAAUCACCUCAGAGGGGGGAGAUGAUGCCGAACUAGAAACCAAAAACAUGGGACUCCUGUUUCGCCAACAUGAAGGCAUAGAAGAUGACAGUUGUUACUCACAGAACCAACGGUGGUGCGACACGUGGUGCUAUUAAUCAACCAAGUUAACCAUGGUUAAUUAAGGGGUCAAUUGGCAAUUCCAUGAGCCAAGCUACUGAUGAUAUUAAUUGAUUAUGAAAUAUUUGAUAGCUUUUGAUUUUUGUUUGAGUUGUUACUUACACGAACAUAGUAGUAAUUUAUAUAUAAUAAGUUUUCUGAGAAAAACCAUGAAUUUUGUUUUAGUUUAUUGGUUAAUAGCCUUGUAAUAUAUUAUGCCCAUGGGCAUGAAUAAUGUAUAAAUAAUUUUUCUUUUUGGCAUAAUAUUUGAAAUAUAUUUAUUUAAUUUUAAA